rnacentral:rRNA from 1 species
ACUCCUGCGGGAGGCAGCAGUGGGGAAUAUUGGACAAUGGGCGCAAGCCUGAUCCAGCCAUGCCGCGUGAGUGAUGAAGGCCCUAGGGUUGUAAAGCUCUUUCACCGGUGAAGAUAAUGACGGUAACCGGAGAAGAAGCCCCGGCUAACUUCGUGCCAGCAGCCGCGGUAAUACGAAGGGGGCUAGCGUUGUUCGGAUUUACUGGGCGUAAAGCGCACGUAGGCGGACUAUUAAGUCAGGGGUGAAAUCCCGGGGCUCAACCCCGGAACUGCCUUUGAUACUGGUAGUCUUGAGUUCGAGAGAGGUGAGUGGAAUUCCGAGUGUAGAGGUGAAAUUCGUAGAUAUUCGGAGGAACACCAGUGGCGAAGGCGGCUCACUGGCUCGAUACUGACGCUGAGGUGCGAAAGCGUGGGGAGCAAACAGGAUUAGAAACCCGAGUAGUCCCAUG